rnacentral:ncRNA from 1 species
CUCUUAUCCCGAGCUGGCGGAGGGACAGGCCCAAUGAAGCCCAGCAACCGGUUUUCUUAUUCAAUGAAAACCAAGGUGCUAACCUGUCGCAAGGUUCUAUUCAUACCUUGAUCGAUAAGAG